CACUCCUACGGGAGGCAGCAGUGGGGAAUUUUGGACAAUGGGCGAAAGCCUGAUCCAGCAAUGCCGCGUGUGUGAAGAAGGCCUUCGGGUUGUAAAGCACUUUUGUCCGGAAAGAAAUCCUUGGCUCUAAUACAGUCGGGGGAUGACGGUACCGGAAGAAUAAGCACCGGCUAACUACGUGCCAGCAGCCGCGGUAAUACGUAGGGUGCGAGCGUUAAUCGGAAUUACUGGGCGUAAAGCGUGCGCAGGCGGUUUGCUAAGACCGAUGUGAAAUCCCCGGGCUCAACCUGGGAACUGCAUUGAUGACUGGCAGGCUAGAGUAUGGCAGAGGGGGGUAGAAUUCCACGUGUAGCAGUGAAAUGCGUAGAGAUGUGGAGGAAUACCGAUGGCGAAGGCAGCCCCCUGGGCCAAUACUGACGCUCAUGCACGAAAGCGUGGGGAGCAAACAGGAUUAGAUACCCGAGUAGUCCCAUGA
rnacentral:rRNA from 1 species